UUCGUUAGCUAAAGUUUACAACAUGUUUUCGAGGCUUCAAACAAAUUUCUAUCAUCUAAUCAAUUUGUAAUGUUUGUAUUAUUUCUCGUUAAAUGUCGGUUAAACUCAAGUAAAGCUGUUCAUUAGUACUUAUUUGUUAUAAAGAUUGUGAAUAGUUUUUUACAAGCACAUGGAGCUUGGAAUACUAAUGUGGAUUUCAUGCAAUUCAACUUGAAACUUGUUACAAGUGUAGCUGUUAUUCUGAUUUAAAAAUUUACUUCUUUGAUUUGAAACUAUCCACGAAAUAAUUUUUCAUUAAAAUAGUCAAUUGAAACAGUGAAUGUUGGUGGUUAAAUUGGAGCAUCUUUACAUGGAUCUUUACCUAGUUAACCAGGAAAUUUGAUCAAUGGCUUGAAUGGGAUGAUUUUGGGCACUAAUUCUAGUCACUUAAAGCAGUUUAUCAACUUCUGUUUAUGAAAAAAGGCGAAAAAUAAACAAUUUAGCAUUUCUUAUGAAAUACAUGCAACAUGAAAAUAAACAGCAGUAAUCAAGAAGUAAUUUAACCCGCUCAAUUUCAGUUACAAAAAACUAACAAGAAGACUUUCAAGGGAAUAAAGAUAAGAUGGCAAACAUGGAAAGAAAGUUUAAAAAGAUAUAAAGUAAAGCUUACCAGAACCAUGAUUGUUUUUGAGCAAUUAAUUUUCAAUUAUGAGUCGCCAGGAAAACAAAAAAUACCAACUGAUAUCCAAUGGAAGAAAACUUGGAAACAAAUGUGUUGACAGAUUACGUUUUGGUUUUGUUGGUCCACCAAUUUUCCUUAUCUUUGUGAAGUUUAACCGAAAUGUUAACACAAUUGAAAUUCACUGAUGAUAUUGUUGAGAUGAGAUGAUAAGACCAGUUGAAAUUACCACUGUAAAUGGAUCCAACAAGUGUAGAUGUAAACCUAUGAUGGAGACACAAAGGUAAAAAACUUGGAGUUAACUAAAACUACCGUAAUCCUUCGUAUGUUGUUUACGGUGAGACUUUCAUUUCUUCACUAAAUUAAAUUGAAUUGGGAAACACGUUAACUUGACUAAAACCAACAUAUACACAAGUUAAACAAUUUAUUCAACUUUACCGAGCGAUUGUCAAAUGAUGAAGUAAAGGUGGUCAAUGGCUUAACAUACCAUUUUAUAUCUCAGCCCUAUAUUCAAUAACGAUACCUGUUCUGAUUUUUUUUGUAUGAUUAUCAAACUACGUACCUUUUUGACGAUCAACAGGCAACAAUGAAAGUAACAAUCAGUUUAAUUCAUGAGACAAUCGACACUCAACUAACCAAUGAGGGAACAUGUGAUCUAUAGGAAGAUUACUGGAUGGCUUUAGUGUCGAUCUUACAGGAUCCUUAAAAGAGACAUCCUCCCCCAACAGAUGAAGAUGAAGAUGAACAAAAAAAAGAGAUGAGUUUAACCACUUUCUUUAGUUUUGUGCUACAUUCCAUAUCCAAAGAGCCUUAUUCCUCUGAUUUACCUGCAAAUAUACAAAUUUGUCCAAGUUGAAGUUUGCAUAAAUUUAUCAAUGUACCUGAUAUCCCGCACCAAAUGAUGGCGAGUUGGGAAAGGGUGAUGAUGAUAAAUUAUGACAUGAUUAUCCAGGCUAAGAAGAGAAAUGAAGAGAGAAUGAAAAAAAGAACUUUUUCCUCGAUUGUUUAUUUUCUUUUCUAUUUUUUAACCAUUCCAAAUUGGACUGACAACAGGAAAAAAAUUUAUUCAAUUAGUUAAACAUUGAUACGUUUGAUACAUUUUUCCUUAUAUAACUUAUCCUCUAUGCUUUGCCAUUCAAUUAGCUCAGCUUUUUUACCCAUUAGUUCAACAUUUUCGCAUCAUCGUUAUGAUAUAAAAAAGUUGAUGAAAAAGGUUAAUUCAAUAAUAAUAAGUUAACAAGUUUAGAUGAGUUGUUGAAAAAUAAUCCUCUUGAUUUACAGUAGUUGAUGCAAUCUGAUUCAGUAAGUAUUUAAUCACAAUCAUUAAAACAAAUGUUACCGUUUCAAGCUUAUUACAUGUUGACUUGCGAUUUAGCUCUCAACCAAAGUCAAAUUAAAUUGCUAUUUAGAUUGACAUCUUUAAUAUCUUUUACUUACAGCUAACUCCAACUCCUGAAAUUGAAAAGUCUAGUCCAUACAAGAAUUGAAAUUAUCACCUUAAUUUACGGUCAAUCUUUUUAUUCAAUUGAUCACUUAUCACCGGUAAAUUAGGAAGACGAGGAUGGAAAGGAUAUUUAUAUUUAACAAUCAAAGAGUUAAAACCAUAUUUUAUCAAUCUUCGGAAUCGGCAUUAGCUUAAGCAUCAUCAUUAUCAUUAUCUGAACCGCCCGUUGUGUUAAUAGUCAGCAAAUAGAGUUGAAUCAAAACCAGAUAGAACCUAAUAAUCUAAAUAUAUUUAUGUUCAUAUAAUUGGUCAAAAUUUGCUAAAAAUAAGAAAUGGUUUGAAUUUGUGAAUGAAAUUUCUUUAUGAAAUGAUUGCGAGAUGUUGAUCAAGAGAGGUUAAGAAUGAAGUGAAUUGAAUCGGGAAAAAGAGGAUAAAAUGUAAGACAAUGAUAAAAAUGGUGAUAAUGACGAUGAAAAAGAUGAUGAGUGAUCAACUCUGACCGACUGGUAAUAACACAAUCAACAGUCGUGUUAAUUUUAUCGUUAGAGCUCUUACAGACUUUCACUUUUUAUCAAUGUGCUAUUCAAGUUGAAUGAAAUUAACCGAUUUCAUCUAUUUAUAAUAUUACCAAAGAGCAGUUGAUUCUCAUCGUUUCAAUUCUUCAGCCUUUGUUUUCUCGGUUCCCUUUGAUGCAGGAGAUAAACCUGGUUCAACUCAUGUUACAGGCUCUAGAGCCAUAUUUUUGGGCAAAGGUAAAUCUAUUGCUCCAGUUGCUGCCGUUGGUCUACUAUUCCGUCAUGACAAGUUUGCCGAAAGAUUUUUCAAUUUCUCUUCAUUGUGUAAAACCGAGGGUUGCAAUGUUAACUGUUCAACCGAUGCAUUUGACUGUUUCUUGGUUGACAAUAAUGGAUUCGUUGUAG